rnacentral:lncRNA from 1 species
UGAGGAAGUGAAGGAGUGUGUUGGGAAUAGCGGGAAGAAAGGUAUGUUUUCAUGGGGGUUUUUUUGAGCUGCCUUUGGAGUAAUUUUGUUCUGUAAGAACCCUCUCCUCAUGGACUGUGGGGAAGCCAUAAAAUCUUUGAGAGUCCUUGUCAUACUGCCUUAUUAGAAGACCCAAUGAGGAUGAAAGCAGUUCUGAUGCUGACUGUAAAUUUGCUUUCAUAGGCAUGACUGAACCUGCAGACAGAUAUCUGCCACUCAAGCUAAUGAAGUAGGUUUGGUAGAAAACCAGCGAGUUGCCUUCCUCUGUACAGGAUCAGAUUGUUGACUGAAGACACAGAACAGAAUAAAAGGAUGAGGGAUGGAGAACAAGAAGAAGAAAAAAAGAAAAGCAAUCCUCUCUCUGCCACCCUCUGAUGUUCCCUCUCCUGAAGAUGAGGAGGAGCAAAGAUCAUGAAGACAAAGCCCCUAAAUACACUGACAAUACACUUAUUUGCCAUGUGGAAUUUAGGUAAAAAGACUGUACAGACUUAGUUUUUGAGGGAGAAGGUCUUGGCGCAACUGAAAGGACGUGUCAUCAUUCUCCUUGCCAGCAGCCCAGGGAAAAGAUUUACAAGAACAUAUAUGGGAAUUUCUGUCAAUGUCAUCUUCAAAAUGCUGCCAAAGAACGUAGGUGUGGCUUUGACUUCAAAUCAGUGCAAGACAUAACUGAGAAUACCUAACUGCUUCUUUAGCCGGUAAAGA